UGGAAGUAAAAGUCGUAACAAGGUCUCCGUUGGUGAACCAGCGGAGGGAUCAUUACAGAGUUAUACAACUCCCAUACCAUCUGUUAACCUACCCAGUUAUGCCUCGGCGUAAGCUCGGUUGGAGGCACCUGCAGCUACCCUGUAGUUGCGGACUGCCAACUCCAGCCGCGGCCCGCCGGCGGUACACUAAACUCUGUUUUAUUUUAUAUUCUGAGCGUCUUAUUUUAAUAAGUUAAAACUUUCAACAACGGAUCUCUUGGUUCUGGCAUCGAUGAAGAACGCAGCGAAAUGCGAUAAGUAAUGUGAAUUGCAGAAUUCAGUGAAUCAUCGAAUCUUUGAACGCACAUUGCGCCCAUCAGUAUUCUGGUGGGCAUGCCUGUUCGAGCGUCAUUUCAACCCUUAAGCCUAGCUUAGUGUUGGGAAUCUGCUGUACUGCAGUUCCUUAAAGACAGUGGCGGAGCGGCGGUAGUCCUCUGAGCGUAGUAAUUUAUUUCUCGCUUUUGUCAGGCUCUGUCCUCCCGCCAUAAAACCCCCAAUUUUUUAGUGGUUGACCUCGGAUCAGGUAGGAAUACCCGCUGAACUUAAGCAUAUCAAUAAGCGGAGGAA
rnacentral:rRNA from 1 species